rnacentral:tRNA from 1 species
GGGGCUGGGGUUCAGUGGUUGAGCUCUUGCCUUGCAUGCAUGAGGCACUGGGUUCGAUCCUCAGCAGCACAU